AUGCCUACGGGAGGCAGCAGUAGGGAAUUUUCGUCAAUGGGCGCAAGCCUGAACGAGCGAUGCCGCGUGAGUGAAGAAGGCCUUCGGGUCGUAAAGCUCUGUUGCGGGGGAAAAAAGGCAGCAUCAGGAAAUGGGUGCUGACUGAUGGUGCCCCGCCAGAAAGUCACGGCUAACUACGUGCCAGCAGCCGCGGUAAUACGUAGGUGGCGAGCGUUAUCCGGAAUCACUGGGCGUAAAGGGCGCGUAGGCGGUUUAAUAAGUCAGUGGUGAAAACUGAGGGCUCAACCCUCAGCCUGCCACUGAUA
rnacentral:rRNA from 1 species